rnacentral:ncRNA from 2 species
UGUCGGAGUGCCCAGAGCGAAAGCCGGGCUGAGACCGUUAAUUCGGGAUCCGCGGAACCUGAUCAGGCUAAUACCUGCGAAGGGAACAAGAGU